UACGGAGGGUGCAAGCGUUGUUCGGAAUCAUUGGGCGUAAAGCGCGUGUAGGCGGCUUGGCAAGUCGGGUGUGAAAUCCCGGGGCUCAACCCCGGAACUGCAUUCGAAACUGCCUCGCUAGAGUCCCGGAGAGGAAGGCGGAAUUCCCGGUGUAGAGGUGAAAUUCGUAGAUAUCGGGAGGAACACCAGCGGCGAAGGCGGCCUUCUGGACGGUGACUGACGCUGAGACGCGAAAGCGUGGGGAGCAAAC
rnacentral:rRNA from 1 species